rnacentral:rRNA from 1 species
ACAGCAGUCGCCGCGGGAAUACAGAGGGUGCGAGCGUUAAUCGGAUUUACUGGGCGUAAAGCGUGCGUAGGCGGCUUCUUAAGUCGGAUGUGAAAUCCCUGAGCUUAACUUAGGAAUUGCAUUCGAUACUGGGAAGCUAGAGUAUGGGAGAGGAUGGUAGAAUUCCAGGUGUAGCGGUGAAAUGCGUAGAGAUCUGGAGGAAUACCGAUGGCGAAGGCAGCCAUCUGGCCUAAUACUGACGCUGAGGUACGAAAGCAUGGGGAGCAAACAGGAUUAGAUACCCCCGUAGUCCCUGUCUCUUAUAA